rnacentral:misc_RNA from 1 species
GAAGCGUUCAAGCGCGACAGCUCGCCCGUCAAGCCUACGAUGACGCGAUAGCCGGCGAUGUCGGAUUCGGCCUGCAGGUUAAUAAUCGGAUCGGCGUCGGGCUGCGGCGGCAGGUCGACAUAACCGCGCGUCAAUUCAUAACGGUCGUUGCGGAAAUUGAUCGUCCCGCGCGUGACGCUGAUACGGCCCGAGACGACCGGCUCUUCCAACGUCCCGCGCACGCGCAGCGACAGAGAGCCGACCGCAUCGGCCAGGUUGUUACGCACGACAAGGGCAUCGCGCCCCUCUAUGC